CCUGCGUAUAACUGUUUGUGCCGGGCUGCACUUCGUGAUUCCUGACACACUUUGUGUAAUGGUUUCCGCCGUGCUGCACGUCAUGGCCUCUGCUGCUCUCUUCCUCAGUGUCCCCGCUCUGGCACGGGUUGCCCACGGGUGUGUUUUUUCACCAUAUAGUUUUCACUUACUUCAGGGCAGGCUGGAACCAUUUUCGACAGACGGCAGGUCAUGGGCUCACCCCAGGCAGGUCACCACUGCAAACCGAUGCUACAUACAGCCUGCAACAUCUGCCCAUUGCAGCAGACACCAGAUGAAAGCAGCAUUCAGCCAUUCAACAACUUCGUUUUGCUGCAUAUAUUCUCCCAAGGCCAUGAGAAUGAAGAUUCCUUAAGGACAUAGGAAGGUAAUCUCUGACAACGCAUUCUCAGCUGGCAGGAUUGAAGCAACUGUACAAAGCAAAGCAGUCACGAAUUUAGGCUUCUGGGUAGUCAAGAACCAUGGCAUGAAGACUGAGGAUGGUGAUGACAGAGGAAGGAAGCUGUUUCCUGAUUCCAUUGGACAGACUUCACUUAGAUCACUGUUCUUGACCUUGGAUGGGAAUGACAAGCCAGUGUCCCAGGUUUCCUCUAGCAUGACAGGCCUUAUAUGAAGGCCAAACUACACGUGGCACCAUGAUGAACUCUUAGUCAAAGCUUUCAUCUUGAUCAUCUUCAGUGAGAUUAUUUUUGACAAGCCCUUGACCAUAGAUUUACUGCCUAAAUCUUGAACCAAUAUGCUGCCAAUAAGCAUCCCUUCCAGCACUGAUGCUAGGAAUUUCUCCUGAUAGCAAAACCUGACGCCCUUCUUUCAGCAUAGCCUCACACAAACAACAUCAUUUCUAGACCCAGUGUCUUCCUUCUGGAGGAGAAUGAAGUCUGGGACAUCUACCUUUGA